rnacentral:rRNA from 1 species
UACGUAGGGGGCGAGCGUUGUCCGGAAUUACUGGGCGUAAAGCGUGUGUAGGCGGCUUUGCAAGUCGGAUGUGAAAGCCCCGGGCUCAACCCGGGAAGUGCACUCGAUACUGCAGGGCUUGAGUGUGGGAGAGGUUGGUGGAAUUCUCGGUGUAGAGGUGAAAUUCGUAGAUAUCGAGAGGAACACCGGCGGCGAAGGCGGCCAACUGGACCACUACUGACGCUGAGACACGAAAGCGUGGGGAGCAAACAGG